UGGUGAUCUGAUAAUCAAGUCGGAGUAAUUACUCAGAUCAAGGCCUGAAGUACCUUCUUCAAAAUCCACUUUUAGUAGUACCAAAUUAGUCUUCAAUAGAAUCUUCUUCGAAUCACAAUCAGCUUUGUCGAACAUAGAAAACUGCUUCUAAUAAUCCUUUGAGUAAUCAAUUGGAUUGGGUCAUCAAUGUACUUCCAUUACCGGUUCUGAGAAUCUGGUAUUUGAAUGCCCGGUGUUUGUCUUGUAAUCUGUCAGCCUGAUCUGUCUCAACUAGAUGUCAAUCUGAUUUGUCUUCGAGUAGAAUAAUUAAAAAGGUUACGGGACACUUGAUUAUUUAAACUAAGUUUAAAUUAUAAAGAAAAUAAAUUUAAAAAUAAGUUUUAAAAGAUGAAAGAAAAUAAAGUAUAAAAUAAACUUAGUUAAAUCUAUAAAGUAAAUUUAAUUAUAUUUAAAAAAUAAAUUCAAAUAAAUUCAUAAUAAACUGAAUAAGUUUAGAAUAAAUUUAUUUCAAAUUCAUUUAGUAAAUAUAUUAAAAUUUAUUAGAUAAA
rnacentral:lncRNA from 1 species